rnacentral:rRNA from 1 species
UGCAAGUCGAACGAGACCUUCGGGUCUAGUGGCGCACGGGUGAGUAACGCGUGGAAACCUACCAUUCUGUACGGAAUAACGAUUGGAAACGAUCGCUAAUACCGUAUACGCCCUGUGGGGGAAAGGUCCGCCGCAGAAUGAGGGGUCCGCGUCCGACUAGCUUGUUGGUGGGGUAAAAGCCUACCAAGGCGAUGAUCGGUAGCUGGUCUGAGAGGAUGAUCAGCCACACUGGGACUGAGACACGGCCCAGACUCCUACGGGAGGCAGCAGUGGGGAAUAUUGGACAAUGGGGGCAACCCUGAUCCAGCAAUGCCGGCGUGUGUGAAGAAGGCCUUAGGGUUGUAAAGCACUUUUCAAUGGUGAAGAUUGAUGACGGUAGCCGGUAAAAAGAAAGCCCCGGGCUAACUCUCCGUGCCAAGCAGCCGCGGGUAAUACGAAGGGGGGCGGAGCGUUUGUUCGGAAUAUACUUGGGCGUAAAGGGCGGCGCAGGCGCGCCAAUCCAGUCAGGGGUGGAAAGCCCCGGGCUUAACCUGGGAACUGCCCUUUGUACUGAUUGGGCUAG